UUUAUAUAUCAAGCGGUUCAAAUCGACAAUUUGGCUUCCCGUGCCAGAAAAGUGAGCCGAUCUAGAGGCUUUCCGUGCCACUACGACAGCGAAAGUAGGCUUUUUUUAAGUAAAAUUAUGGAAAAUUACUAGAUAGCGUACAUUGAAUGUACAGUUUUGAUCAUAAAGAUGAUAUCAAUGCCAUUAGAUAUUUGGCAUAUUACGGAAAAGCUAUGUUAAAAAGUCAUCAAAGUAGCAUGUAUGCACGAUUGUUCCACAACCCUCGUAAUCAUUCCAUCUUCGAUAGAGUUUGUGAUGAGUGUUUAGACCUGCGGAAUAGUGUUAACCAUUAGCUGGAUAUAUGAUUAAACUCAUGGACAACCUCUUUUAAUGCACACAUGUGUUUACGGGUUUUAAUUUGACAUUUUCUUACCUGUUUUGUGAAUAACGAUCAUCCAUUUUUCUUGUUUAUGACAGAGGGGCAGCGAAGAAUGAACAGAGAGGCAGCAUUUUGACAGAAAGGCCACCGAUAUGCGUCAACACCGUGUAUUUGAUGUCGCCUUCGUACAGAGAUGAUUUCGACAGAAAAUCAGACCGGCCAACAUCCAGUACAGAUACAAUACAAUUGUUUACUGCUGACUGGAGCAAUGUUCAUUUGUAUAAGUUCCCUGUAAGAGGUUCCAGAUCGCUUCAACCGAAAUAUUUCAAGAACUAUUCCUGGCUGCGGUACUCUGAGAAGACCAAUGGAGUGUACUGUGCUCCUUGUUACCUAUUUGCUGGUGAUACUUAAUAACCCCCCCCCCCAUUUGAUCAGGCAGCCAUACCUGGAUUUGAGCAACGUGUCUUCCACUCAUAAAAAACACGAGAAAAAACCCUGAUCAUAUUGCACGAGAAGAAAGGGCCGACGAUUUCUUAGCAAUUGAACGAGGAAAAGAAAGAUAUUGAGUGUACCUUAAAUGCAAAUUACAAAGCUCGUGUAGAGAAGAACAGAACAAUUAUUGUAGGCAUCGUGGAUGCAAUUGUGUUUUGUGGGAAACAAAAUAUUGCUUUACGUGGCAGUGCCGAUGAGGAAAAGGGAAAUUUCAGAGCGUUGUUGAAACGUCAGGAAAAACUUGACCCUUUUAAGAGUGGACACCUAGAAAGCGGAGAUCGUAAGACAAUGUAUUUAUCGGAUAUCCCCACAGAUCCUGAACGAGCUGAUUGAAAUAUGUGGAUCUAUGAUAGCGUCAAAUAUUGUCAAAGCAUGCAACACGUCUUUCUGCUUCGGCUUCAUGGCGGCCGAAACCACUGAUGCUGCCACUAUGGAGCAAAUGGCCUUCUGCCUUCGAGUAUACGAUAGGAAUUGUGUGUGUUUACACAUGUACCGCGUUAAAAAGAGAGAAAAGCAAUUAACUUGGUUUACAAAUGACUUCUGGGUAUCUUCUUAUUGAACUCAUGCAGUAUGUGGCAAGAGCUGGAAUCCCGUAUUAUUGAAAAGCCUUUGCUUUGUGCCCUGUGUUUCGGAAAGCAGAUAUGUGUAGGAAUGCAGCCACGUUACUUUUUCUGUAGAAUUUUCAUUCAUUACCACUUAUCCACUUCAUUUUCACAUUUGAACUCUUCAACAUUUUACAAAGGCGGGGGGGGGGGAGCAGAAUUUCUCAUGUCUGUUUUUAACACUUUACUCAAGAUAAUAUUACUGGUGAACAAAUGCCUUUUCUCUUUACUGGGAAAUGUUUUUCAUAAAUAUCCAGAUUAUUUCCUGAAAUAGGACAUCACAACAUAUUAAUACGAAUUAAAAGCUUUACAUUUAUGAUGGUGACAUUAUGAGUUUUAUUAUUUAUAUAUUUGUAAGACAAACAUAUAAUACAACCCCUUGUCAUUAUAGUUUUUUAAUGGCAAAUUGACAGUUUAUCUCUGGACUAUUGCCUCAUUUCGAAACAAGGCCAUACAAGUUGAUUCUAUGUUUAUGACAAUAGCACCUGUGCUAUUUAAUACAAAACUUGUAUUCAUGUUUGGUGAAUAGAUGUUAUCCAGGUCUCCAACACUUUGGAAAUCAAAGCGCUGAAGGCACGAAGUUGUUCGCUGUUGUCGUCCUUGAUUAGCUUGUGUGCAUUGCACAGGCUAAUCAGUGUACAGAGGCUAAUCUUAUUUGACUUGCAUUAAGCCCCGUUUUCCCUGAAAGCAGCCAAUAUGUAUAGAUUUCAAUGACAAACACUAGACUGGCCAAUGUCGUCUUUCAAGCUGGUAUAUACACUCACUGCUAGAGGGUAUAUACACUCACAGCUAGAGCAGAAUCAUUUGUCGUCUGCUGCAGACAGGCAGCGGUUAUCGUCCCUAGCAGAGUGAGUUGCGGUUCUUACCGUAAGGCUUCUAAAUGUUGCGAACUUGUCGAUUUCGCCACGGUUGAAAUUGUAGUGGGUUGUAACCUCCAUUCCAUGUGGUUGAUAUUUUUCAUUGUUUUAAGAAUUUGUACAUGUAAUCGAAAAUAUAGAAACUAAUAUAUAUUUAUGCCGAAUAUUAACUCUAUUCGACGACUUUAAACGUCUUAAUGAUCUGUUUAAAUACCGCUGAUUGUUAAACUGUAUUUUCGUUAGUUUCGGUGUCCCUCGGUUUUUACCUAAGAACGCUCUGAGUAAAGUAACGUCAUAAAUAGAUUAGUUUGCGGGGCGUUCGGCGGGGCGUUCGAUUCCACGAUGGAAGCCGAGUCUCCGUGCUCGAUGGUAUGUUAAAAUAAUUGUGUACGUUGAAGGUAUAGAUUAGUGAAUGCAAUACACCUGUAUGAUAUAUCUUAACUAGGUCUAAUCGUACUCAAAAUAUAAAUAAAUACGUGAUUAUGGUA